rnacentral:rRNA from 1 species
CCCGAAAGGGUGCUAUUACCGCAUGUGUCCGGGCGUUCAUUCGUACGUGCAAAGCCGUAAGGCGCUUUGGGAGGGGCCUGCGUCCGAUUAGCUCGUUGGUGGGGUAACGGCUCACCAAGGCGACGAUCGGUAGGUGGUCUGAGAGGACGAUCACCCAGACUGGGACUGAGACACGGCCCAGACUCCUACGGGAGGCAGCAGUCGGGAAUAUUGCUCAAUGGGCGCAAGCCUGAAGCAGCAACGCCGCGUGAGGGAUGAAGGCCUUCGGGUUGUAAACCUCUUUCCAGGGACGAUGAUGACGGUACCUGGAGAAUAAGCCACGGCUAACUACGUGCCAGCAGCCGCGGUAAUACGUAGGUGGCAAGCGUUGUCCGGAUUUACUGGGCGUAAAGAGCGCGCAGGCGGCCAAGUCAGUCGAAUGUGAAAGCCCCCGGCUUAACUGGGGAGGGUCAUUCGAUACUGCUCGGCCCGAAGACAGGAGAGGGAAGUGGAAUCCCGGUGUAGUGGUGAAAUGCGUAGAUAUCGGGAGGAACACCAGUGGCGAAGGCGACUUUCUGGCCUGUUCUUGACGCUGAGGCGCGAAAGCUAGGGGAGCAAACGGGAUUAGAUACCCCGGUAGUCCUAGCCGUAAACGAUGGAUACUAGGUGUUGGUGGUAUCAACCCCGCCAGUGCCGUAGCUAACGCAUUAAGUAUCCCGCCUGGGGAGUACGGCCGCAAGGCUAAACUCAAAGGAAUUGA